UUGGGGUGGUGGAUAAAAAAUUUCCUAAUCAGACCUCUAAACUGCUCUCGCGUGAAAAUCACGUGGUCUACUUUUAAAAACUUUUAUUUAGUUAGUUUUUUUCUUUUUCUAUAAAACAGAAAAGCUAAGUCCCCAAAACCCUAACCCACGCGAAGACGGCGGGGAGCUUCUCCUUUCGGAAAGAGUUUAGCAUUUGACGCGGCCAUGUAUCUUCAAUUCUACAUAAAUGAGAAUGGGGAUAAGGUUUACACCACCAAGAAGGAAUCACCGCUUGGUGUGGCAACACAAUCUGCUCAUCCGGCUCGAUUCUCCCCAGAUGAUAAGUACUCCCGGCAGCGGGUUCUUCUGAAGAAACGAUUUGGUCUGCUUCCGACCCAGAAGCCGCCCCCAAAGUACUGAGGGAUUGAUGCAUGCUAACACCUUGGAUAUUGGACAAAUUUUAUAAUUCCUUCUGGUAUCAGUAAACAUACCAGGCUCCUUGAUGACUUCUGGCUGUCAUGAAAUUCGACCCUCUUGCCAUGUGUUAAAACAUGGAUUUUUGUAACUUUGCAUCAUCCUCUAUGAGCUGUUAAUUGCUUUUUGUUUUUGUAUGGAAGACUAAUUUUGAGGGCAUAACCGAUAUGUCUAUGGUCCCUAACUAUUUUGGGCAGUGUUCCGUGGCAAUGCAGAGAUGUAAUUUUGAUGCAGGCCUAACCAAGCUUUGAUGUUUAUGCUGAUCUUUACCUGAAAAUAGAGUAAAGGUAAACAGGAGCACAUCCCUGUAAAGAGUUAAUUGUUGAUAAAAAUAAAUUCAGAACUUUA